rnacentral:rRNA from 1 species
UACAGAGGUCCCAAGCGUUGUUCGGAAUUACUGGUCGUAAAGCGCGCGUAGGCGGCUUUGUAAGUUAGAGGUGAAAGCCCGGAGCUCAACUCCGGAACUGCCUUUAAAACUGCAUCGCUUGAAUCCAGGAGAGGUGAGUGGAAUUCCGAGUGUAGAGGUGAAAUUCGUAGAUAUUCGGAAGAACACCAGUGGCGAAGGCGGCUCACUGGACUGGUAUUGACGCUGAGGUGCGAAAGCGUGGGGAGCAAACAGG